GGCUGGACCUGUCCUGACCAGUGGCUCAUUCCCAGAUCUGCUGUCCCAGCACUACCUGCAAGAAAUCUCAGCUUCCACCAUAAUUUGCCAGUCCCUGAAAAUCCUGCAUUGGUUUUGCAUGUGUUCCUGAGGGCUGAUUUGAAUGUUUUUAAGCUUUUUGGCCCCUGGUUUUGUUUGCCACCCACUCCCCUGACCUGCUUUGCACUGUGACUGACUUCUGGCUGCAGCCUGCAGUUCCCCAACAUCAGUCUCCAUUAGGUGACACCUCUUUGCCAACAUUUACAUGCACUAUGUACAAUCAGUUAAUUGCUGUGCAAUUUCUCACCCAGGUGAUUUAUUACAAGCUCAACCAGUCACAGGCUAUAAUAAUUAAUCUGCAAAUUGAGCUUGCCUUUAAAUUAAGCCAUAGAUUAUAGUAGCAUGAUGGGUAAAUGCCAGCUCUUUGAAUUUAGAAGGCAGUGUCACUUCUCCCACCGAAACAAACCAUGGUGGCUUUAAUGUGGCUUUCAUGUGUCCCAUCAUCCCCAAGUACUGGGAAGCCAAAGCAAGGAUUAAUCUUGGAUGACUGAGAGCAAAGGGGUUGCAUCUCUCUGAUCCAGCUGGGAGAGUCAAUAGGUCUCAAAUGAGCAAUGCUUGGUACAAAUUCCUCAUAAAUACCAAAUGCCUUUUUGGUUUUCUGCAUCUUUUAAGACUUGGGAAGGGAACUACUCUCACGUGGGACGAUGACCCUUUUCCUGACUGUGUGGGAGCCCUGACAGUUCUGGAGGGACCAGGAUCCAAACCCAAGGAGCUGCUUCCCUCCUAGAGGCAUGGGAGAGGCUUAUUGGAUCCCUGUGAGGAGAAGAUGGCAGUGGCAUCUCUCUGUCUGCUGCCUCAUUCCCUCUUAUCCCUUCUCUUAGACUUGUCCUUAUGGAAAUCACAAGCUCUGCCUGUGACUUUGCUGGAAGAGCAGAUUUAAUUCCAAAUAAGAGACACUGGAGCUCAGCCUGCCCAGCCUCCCAUCACAGCUGGGCUGGCUCCCAGUGUGUGUCCAUGGCUGAACAGGGUUUUCCUGAGCCAGGUGAGCUGCUGUGACCUGAGUAAGGAUGACUGUGAGCCUGAAGCUCCUGCUCUGUGGUGAGGAUAUGGCUCCCUGGGGACAGGGAACUGAGUCAGGCUCCUGGCAUGGCGGGACAAGGUUUGGGGAACUUGCUUUGUUGCCUGUGUGUGAGUGGAGGCUGAUUUUUCUUUCCUUGGAGAAAGUGGAAUGAUUCUGUUGUGGAAGUGGAAUGGAAUAAGUCCUCCCAGGUUGGAUGUGAACACCUUAUUCAGCUCCUGCAGACCAUUAAGUAUCCUUAAAAUGUUUCCCAAUUUCCAGAGAUAUUGAGGGGCUCUGGAAGUGGUUGCUGCAUUCUGAAGUACCUCAGUUUAAAAUGAGCAGAUCCUUGAAUAGCUUCUCCCUGUCUCAUACACGGAAUUUCUUUUCCAUCUUGAAUAGGCUACAUUUCCUGAAAGAAAAGAUUGUGAGAGUAAUGAACUCUGAAAACUGCUUAUCUGCCUUUUGAAAUAAAAAUGCUUUUGGCCAAAUGAUAUCUUGCA
ensembl:lncRNA